GACGGAGGGGGCAAGCGUUGUCCGGAAUCACUGGGCGUAAAGCGCGUGUAGGCGGUCGUGUGCGUCGGUGCUGAAAGCGACCGGCUUAACCGGGCGGGGCGGGCCGAUACGAAGCGACUGGAGGCAGGGAGGGGGCGGAGGAAUUCCGGGUGUAGCGGUGAAAUGCGUAGAGCUCCGGAGGAACGCCGGUGGGGGAGACGGCCGCCUGGGCCUGUCCUGACGCUGAGACGCGACAGCGUGGGGAGCAAACCGG
rnacentral:rRNA from 1 species